rnacentral:rRNA from 1 species
CGCGUGGUUCUAUUUUGUUGGUUUUUAGAACCGCCGUAAUGAUUAAUAGGGACAGUCGGGGGCAUCUGUAUUCAAUUGUCAGAGGUGAAAUUCUUGGAUCUAUUGAAGACAAACUACUGCGAAAGCAUUUGCCAAGGAUGUUUUCAUUGAUAAGGAACGAAAGUUAGGGGAUCGAAGACGAUCAGAUACCGUCGUAGUCUUAACUAUAAACUAUGCCGACUAGGGAUCGGACGAUGUUAUUUUUUGACUCGUUCGGCACCUUUCGAGAAAUCAAAGUGCUUGGGCUCCAGGGGGAGUAUGGUCGCAAGGCUGAAACUUAAAGAAAUUGACGGAAGGGCACCACCAGGGGUGGAACCUGCGGCUUAAUUUGACUCAACACGGGGAAACUCACCAGGUCCAGACACAGUGAGGAUUGACAGAUUGAUAGCUCUUUCUUGAUUCUGUGGGUGGUGGUGCAUGGCCGUUCUUAGUUGGUGGAGUGAUUUGUCUGCUUAAUUGCGAUAACGAACGAGACCUUAACCUGCUAAAUAGCCCGUAUUGCUUCGGCAGUACGCUGGCUUCUUAGAGGGACUAUCGGCUCAAGCCGAUGGAAGUUUGAGGCAAUAACAGGUCUGUGAUGCCCUUAGAUGUCCUGGGCCGCACGCGCGUUACACUGACAAAGCCAGCGAGUAUUUCCUUAGCCGGAAGGCUUGGGUAAUCUUGUUAAACUUUGUCGUGC